GUAGGGAAUAUUGGACAAUGGGCGCAAGCCUGAUCCAGCCAUGCCGCGUGAGUGAUGAAGGCCUUAGGGUUGUAAAGCUCUUUCAGUGGGGACGAUAAUGACGGUACCCACAGAAGAAGCCCCGGCUAACUUCGUGCCAGCAGCCGCGGUAAUACGAAGGGGGCUAGCGUUGUUCGGAUUUACUGGGCGUAAAGCGCACGUAGGCGGAUCGUUAAGUCGGGGGUGAAAUCCUGGAGCUCAACUCCAGAACUGCCUUCGAUACUGGCGAUCUUGAGUCCGGAAGAGGUGAGUGGAACUCCUAGUGUAGAGGUGGAAUUCGUAGAUAUUAGGAAGAACACCAGUGGCGAAGGCGGCUCACUGGUCCGGUACUGACGCUGAGGUGCGAAAGCGUGGGGAGCAAACAGGAUUAGAAACCCUGGUAGUCC
rnacentral:rRNA from 1 species